rnacentral:rRNA from 1 species
UACAUGGGGUGCAAACGUUGCUCGGAAUUAUUGGGCGUAAAGCGCACGUAGGCGGAUCAGCAAGUUAGGGGUGAAAUCCCGGGGCUCAACCCCGGAACUGCCUUUAAAACUGUUGGUCUGGAGGUCGAGAGAGGUGAGUGGAAUUCCGAGUGUAGAGGUGAAAUUCGUAGAUAUUCGGAGGAACACCAGUGGCGAAGGCGGCUCACUGGCUCGAUACUGACGCUGAGGUGCGAAAGCGUGGGGAGCAAACAGG